GGUGCCUAUAAAUGGGGGCCUAGGAAAAACCUAGCUUAGGAUGAAGAGAGAAAAAUAUGCUUAAAUGUUUAAUUUACAAUAAAUUGUAGAUGACAGUUAUCUCUCUUCAUAUCAGCACAUGCAUACACUACACACACACUCAGCAACUCAAUAAAGGUAGACUUUGUCUUUCCUUGUUUCUCUUUUCUUGACAUAAAAUUGUCUUUGAAAAAGAAAGGGAAUGAGUGUGAGGAAGUACAUGUAGGCUUCAAAAGAUAAAAUGAUUCCUCAUUUUAAACUUUAGGGCAAAAUCAUCAAAGAAAA
rnacentral:lncRNA from 1 species